rnacentral:rRNA from 1 species
CCCGCUGAACUUAAGCAUAUCAAUAAGCGGAGGAAAAGAAACCAACAGGGAUUACCUCAGUAACGGCGAGUGAAGCGGUAACAGCUCAAAUUUGAAAUCUGGCUCUUUUAGGGUCCGAGUUGUAAUUUGUAGAAGAUGCUUUGGGUGUGGCCCUGGUCUAAGUUCCUUGGAACAGGACGUCAUAGAGGGUGAGAAUCCCGUAUGUGACUAGGUGCUUUCGCCCGUGUAAAGCUCUUUCGACGAGUCGAGUUGUUUGGGAAUGCAGCUCAAAAUGGGUGGUAAAUUUCAUCUAAAGCUAAAUAUUGGCCAGAGACCGAUAGCGCACAAGUAGAGUGAUCGAAAGAUGAAAAGCACUUUGGAAAGAGAGUUAAACAGUACGUGAAAUUGUUGAAAGGGAAGCGCUUGCAACCAGACUUAGUUGCUGCCGAUCAUCUAGGGUUCUCCCUGGUGCACUCGGUAGUAUCUAGGCCAGCAUCGGUUUGGGUGGUGGGAUAAAGGCCUUGGGAAUGUAGCUUCUUUCGGGGAGUGUUAUAGCCCUCGGUGCAAUGCCGCCUACCCGGACCGAGGACCGCGCUUCGGCUAGGAUGCUGGCGUAAUGGUUGUAAGCGACCCGUCUUGAAACACGG